GGAAUCAUGACUGGUGUACGGUGCACAAGACAGAGUAAGGUUAUGAAACUCAUAAAUUAUGUUGUAAGAAAAGAACCCUGGCUGAGAAGUGCAAUAUUCGUUGGAGCUGAUAUCGCGUGACGGGCGCGCACCGUGCCGCCGCGCCGCCGUGCCAGGCACUGUCCCGACACGCUGUCCCGUCGCCCCGUCUCGCUGUCAUACCACUGUCGCUGGUCACGCAGUGGAGAAUGCCGCUAUGCGCACUACGAGUCGGCUGCAGUAAAUCAGCGCUUGCGCAUCUUGCAGCCAAUCGCAGUCGUGGAUACGCGCGUCAUUUGCACCUGCCCGGAAAGGAAGCUCUAAUGAACCCCACUGCAUAUUGCAUUGGGUGAUUGGGUGAGAACUUUUAUAUGCACUUUUGUUGUUGGUAAAUUGUUUGUUGCAUAUACUUGAUUAC